GAUGAACGCUGGCGGCGUGCCUAAUACAUGCAGGUCGAGCGAACGGACGAGAAGCUUGCUUUUCUGAUGUUAGCGGCGGACGGGUGAGUAACACGUGGAUAACCUACCUAUAAGACUGGGAUAACUUCGGGAAACCGGAGCUAAUACCGGAUAAUAUUUUGAACCGCAUGGUUCAAAAGUGAAAGACGGUCUUGCUGUCACUUAUAGAUGGAUCCGCGCUGCAUUAGCUAGUUGGUAAGGUAACGGCUUACCAAGGCAACGAUGCAUAGCCGACCUGAGAGGGUGAUCGGCCACACUGGAACUGAGACACGGUCCAGACUCCUACGGGAGGCAGCAGUAGGGAAUCUUCCGCAAUGGGCGAAAGCCUGACGGAGCAACGCCGCGUGAGUGAUGAAGGUCUUCGGAUCGUAAAACUCUGUUAUUAGGGAAGAACAUAUGUGUAAGUAACUGUGCACAUCUUGACGGUACCUAACCAGAAAGCCACGGCUAACUACGUG
rnacentral:rRNA from 1 species